rnacentral:rRNA from 1 species
UACGUAGGGGGCAAGCGUUAUCCGGAUUUACUGGGUGUAAAGGGAGCGCAGACGGCAGUGCAAGUCUGAUGUGAAAGCCCUGGGCUCAACCCCGGAACUGCAUUGGAAACUGUACAGCUUGAGUGUCGGAGAGGUAAGCGGAAUUCCUAGUGUAGCGGUGAAAUGCGUAGAUAUUAGGAGGAACACCGGUGGCGAAGGCGGCUUACUGGACGAUUACUGACGUUGAGGCGCGAAAGCUAGGGGAGCAAACGGGAUUAGAUACCCCGGUAGUCCCUGAG